UAGAGCAAGAAGAAGCGCCCGCUUCUCACCUGUACGACAUUGGUUGCCAGGUUAGAAACCGUCAGUUUGUUAAAAUGCUGAUUAAGUGUGGGUGCCGUGCGUCCACACUUUUUUCACGUU
rfam:Bacillus clausii KSM-K16 DNA, complete genome.